GAGAGCCAUCUGGGCCCUUGGCCACCUGCUCCUGCCGCCUGCUGUUUGGAAGGGGCCAGUGGGUUGGAGAGAAGAGAGGAAGGGAAGCCAAGAAGAGGCUCUGGAGUGUACCUGGCAGUCAUGAGGAAGGAUGUGAUAAGUCAUACUGAGUCAGACUCUUUCAGGAUGUAAGGAAGGAACUUGUCCGGUUUUCCUCAAGGCAAAGGAAAGCCCAAAUGUGAUGUGAAACACACAGAGGAGACCCCACAUUGGUUACUCACACAGAUGCUGCCAAAGAUCCAGCUGUUUCACACUGAGC